rnacentral:lncRNA from 1 species
AUAAAAUUGAGAAUGGAAAUGGGGAAUGUGUCAAAGAGACAACAACCCGACCAAAUAAAAAACAACAGCAGAAGGUCACCAACAGGUCUUCAAUGUAGCGAGAAAUUCCCGCACCCGGAGGCGUCCUUCAGCUGGCCCCUAAACAAAUAUAUAUACUAGUUCAGUGAUAAUGAACGCCAUACUAAUUUCCAAAUUGUACACAAGAAACUAAACUUAAAAUAAUACAAGACUAACAAAGGCCAGAGGCUCCUGACUUGGGACAGGCGCAAAAAUGCGGCGGGGUUAAACAUGUUUGUGAGAUCUCAACCCUCCCCCUAUACCUCUAACCAAUGUAGAAAAGUAAACGC